rnacentral:rRNA from 1 species
AGUGAACGCUGGCGGUAGGCCUAACACAUGCAAGUCGAACGGCAGCACAGUAAGAGCUUGCUCUUACGGGUGGCGAGUGGCGGACGGGUGAGGAAUACAUCGGAAUCUACUUUUUCGUGGGGGAUAACGUAGGGAAACUUACGCUAAUACCGCAUACGACCUACGGGUGAAAGCAGGGGAUCUUCGGACCUUGCGCGAUUGAAUGAGCCGAUGUCGGAUUAGCUAGUUGGCGGGGUAAAGGCCCACCAAGGCGACGAUCCGUAGCUGGUCUGAGAGGAUGAUCAGCCACACUGGAACUGAGACACGGUCCAGACUCCUACGGGAGGCAGCAGUGGGGAAUAUUGGACAAUGGGAGGAAGCCUGAUCCAGCCAUACCGCGUGGGUGAAGAAGGCCUUCGGGUUGUAAAGCCCUUUUGUUGGGAAAGAAAAGCAGCAGGUUAAUACCCCGCUGUUCUGACGGUACCCAAAGAAUAAGCACCGGCUAACUUCGUG